GGGAGGGCGGGGAGCAGCGCGGCGGCGGCUGGCGGGGCUGGGCUGGGCUGGGCUGGGCGAGCACUGCGCGCCGGCGGCUGUGACGGGGCAGAGCGCACGACGCUGCCACCGCCUACGCGCGAGCCGCUACAACCUCCGACCGUCGUCGCCGCCGGCACAGGAGGGGGGCCAAGACGUCUCUCCAACGCGGGGCGAGCGCAGGACCGCGCCAGGCGUCCAAAAGAAGGAAGAUGCCUCGCGGCGACAGGGAAAGCGACUGGAGGGAAAAGGAGCAGUUCCGCAAACUGUUUAUUGGCGGGUUAAGCUUUGAAACCACAGAGGAAAGCUUGAGGAGUUACUAUGAGCAAUGGGGAAAGCUUACAGACUGUGUGGUAAUGAGGGAUCCUGCAAGCAAAAGAUCAAGGGGGUUCGGUUUUGUAACAUUCUCUUCCAUGGCUGAAGUUGAUGCAGCUAUGGCUGCAAGACCUCACACAAUUGAUGGAAGGGUGGUUGAGCCUAAGAGAGCUGUGGCUAGAGAGGAAUCUGGAAAACCUGGUGCUCAUGUUACUGUGAAAAAACUAUUUGUUGGUGGUAUUAAAGAGGACACUGAAGAGCACCACCUUCGUGACUACUUUGAAGAAUAUGGGAAAAUCGACACUAUUGAAAUCAUUACUGAUAGACAGUCUGGUAAAAAGAGAGGGUUUGGAUUUGUUACAUUUGAUGACCAUGAUCCUGUGGAUAAAAUUGUAUUGCAGAAGUACCACACCAUCAAUGGCCAUAACGCAGAAGUAAGGAAAGCUCUCUCUAGACAGGAAAUGCAGGAGGUUCAGAAUUCUAGGAGUGGGAGAGGAGGGAACUUCGGUUUUGGUGAUGCUCGUGGAGGUGGUGGCAACUUUGGUCCAGGACCUGGCAGCAAUUUCAGAGGGGGAGCCGGUAAGACAGAUGGGUAUGGAAGCGGCCGUGGAUUUGGUGAUGGGUAUAACGGAUAUGGCGGAGGACCUGGAGGUGGCAACUUCGGUGGCAGUCCUGGUUAUGGAGGAGGAAGAGGAGGAUAUGGUGGAGGAGGACCUGGAUAUGGCAACCAGGGUGGGGGCUAUGGAGGUGGUUAUGACAACUAUGGAGGAGGCAAUUAUGGAAGUGGGAACUAUAAUGAUUUUGGAAACUACAACCAACAACCUUCAAAUUACGGUCCGAUGAAGAGUGGAAAUUUUGGUGGCAGUAGAAACAUGGGGGGACCAUAUGGUGGAGGAAACUAUGGUCCAGGAGGCAGUGGAGGAAGUGGUGGAUAUGGAGGGAGGAGCCGUUACUGAGUUUCUUCAAGCAUGCCAUGGCUAUGAUAUGAACCCUGGACAAGCAUAGACUGCUGCCACUGUACACUGCUACAGUUGAACAAAUGAGACCUGCAAGUGUCCAUUAGUAAAGCUUUGCAAGGGUUCCAUCCCUGGUGUUGGUAGUUAAAAUGGAAGGUGCCAUGCUGCAGGUAACUAAUGAAGAAGUGGUCAACCACAGAAACGCUUCAAGAAAUAAGAAAUUCUGUAUCAUCAGAAAAUAGUUGUUUUUGCUGCCUUCAUUAAAAAUCUAGAGGUUAAAUGAAUACUGAUAAAACAUCACAAUUAGCACAGCUCCCUGUAAUGCUGGGUUUUUUAAAUUAUAGUAAUAAUGUCUUGUAAACCUUUCGAAUAAAAUUCAGAUUCGUUAGGAGAAACAAAUCACUAAUGUUAAAAUAGCAAACAUUCUGUGAGUAGAAAGUUUAACUACAUAUAUUUAUAACUUUCAUAGCUUUAAAAUAAAGUAUUUUUUAUACCAAAGUAGUUCUAGUGUAAUGCUUAAUAAAAACUUAGUGUGUAUCUAACAUUAAAUAAUGUUUAUGUGCAGCUUUUAGACCCUUUCAUGAUUUGAAACAUUCCAUUUUGAGGUGAAUUUAAACCAGAACCAGUUUGAUAAGUGUAUUUACCAAACUUGUUUCUCUGACCGUAGGCAUCUGUUCUCUGUUGGGAGAAACAGUGCUGCAACUUAAAAAUGCUGAUCUCUUUGCUGUUGGGACACAAGUGCUUAAAAAUAGAUUUUUUUGGCUGUGUUUGUCAGUUUGUCAAAUUGCAAUAGGACAAUGUCCUUUUCACCUGUAAAGAGCUUUUAGGGUGAAGAGAGAAAGACCAAAUGGAAUGUAGAGUUCUUGCUGUACCAGAACUGUAUUGAUAGCUGCAUCUGGGGGCGGAAAAAAAAAUCAAACAAAAAAAACCCCAAACAAAACAAAAGCCCUUCGAAAUCAAACACUAAGUCUGAGCUUGGGAAAACUUCAGUUGGGAAUGUAUUUGAGGGAAAGUAUCUUCAGUUUAUACUGUUUUAACCAGUUACCUUCAUACGCAGUUUAUUCUGUACUUGAAAUUUAUAUGCCUAGCUUUGGCAGAAUCAUCGUGUCUUUAACCUUCUUUAUAAUACUGUUUAAGGAUUCACAUGCAACUUUUUUCUGUUUUUUUAAAUUGAGCUUUAAAAUAUUUGCAUAGGUAACAGGUGGGCUGCAACGGAAGCAGAAAAUGAAGAUAAAAUCUGCUUUACUUUCUUCUUUCCAACAGAAUGAGUUGAUCAGAUCAUAAGGAAUUUGCCUUCUUUCCUGUAACUUAGAUUUAGCUGAUGGAAGUUUUUUCUUUACAGUUGCCAAGUCCACAUUCAUACAACAUUAAAAAAAACUCUAACCACUUUGAAGGGAAGUAAUUAUUUCUGAGAUAGUCUUUCAGUAGUUUUACAACAAGGUUUAAAAUUUACUUGAAUUAAAUGUCUUAUAUUUUCCAUAAUGAGGAUUUUUUAAUUUUGAUCUGCAGGCAGUGGGGGAAAGGAGUGUAUAAUGGGACAGCACUAUGCAAAAAUGAAGUUAGUGGAUAUUUAAAGUAUUGAAAACCUGGUGUUUUAAGUUUCCUGAUGUCUUACUGUUGAACUUUCAUGACUUAUCUCUUGGUACCUUCUUAAAGCAAGUGACAGUUGCAGUGUUCACCAAUGAAUUUGGUGAAAGAAAUCACCAUUUUGAGUCAGCCUGAUGCUGGAAGUCAGCAACUUCAAAUAAAAACAGCAGUGUGUGUGGUCAGUUCCUGGUCAUCAAUUUGUAGACAGUGUGUACUUCUGAAUUUCUAUCAAGUUGGGUUUAUGUCACUAUAGCCUUCGUUUUCAAAGUAAGCAUAACAUGUUUCAGUGUACUAACAACUAAGGAUCAGGUUGUCAGUACUAGGCCCACUUUUCCCCCAGCAAAAACACUUUCUGCAGCAGACUGAGGAAAGAAUGAAAAACAACUUGUUGGUAACUGGUAUGGGAGCCAAAAAAUACAGUGGUUGACUUGCACAUAAAGUGAUGUUGAAAAGGUCAAUACUAGGGGUCUGGCCAUCAAGACAGUGUUACUUACAAUGAAAAUUGGAUUUUAUUAAUUUCUGUUGUCCUGCAGGUGGUGAAAACCAUUUAGGAAAAUGUGAACAAUUGCUUUUAAUAUUGUACAAUGAACAGGACUUGAACUUUGUUACAUGUAGGGAAGAAGACUGUAUUUUAGGUUUAUGAUGAAUGUACAUGAUACCUUGGGGAUGAAAUCAUACUGCUUCUGGGGAAGAAGAACCAAGCCCCAGAAACAGAUACGAAUUUUCAAGGAGUUGUCAGCUGAGCGUGUUUUGGCAGCUUGACCACAUCGGUGGUGCAGGAUGAUUUUCUGGGAACAUACUGGAACAGUGCAUUCUGUGUAGCUGUAGUGUUUCAGUUUGUUUUCAAAGCUGGGUGUGUGAUGUGAGUGAAACCCCAUAGUAGUGCUCCUGGGGUUUUUUUCUCCUAAGGUAGAUGCCCAGUCCUCAUUUAUUCAGCUGUACCAUUCAGUGUACUAGGGAUGUAUAGGAGUAUUACAUGGAAGGGUUUGUCUCAGUAACACUGCUCCGUUUUUCCAGAAGUUGUCCCUUUUAACAGUCGUGUUCUUGCUUUGCAGCUAGUGUUGAUUUGCAUUGCAGCAGAAGUUUCAGUGUUGUCAGGAGUUAUUCCAGUUAAUGGAGAAAGAACUUGUUUAUCAGCAGUAAAAUUAACAGUAUAUAAAUAGCUGUGUGACUUGUCUGACAGUGCUGUGAACACAUUAGGGGACCAUGUAGUUACAAACUACGUGUGACCUCCCAUGUUGCUUCACCGUAUGAAAAAGUGCGACUGGGGGAAAGUCCUAGACAAUUGCUGUUACCAGUACCCCGCUUUCCCUCUUUAUUUGUAUGCUUGCUCUUGGUUCAUUUUGGGGCAUUCAUGUGUGAAAGCGAGUGGCUGAUGCACUUAAUGGAGUUCUAGUAGCUGUGUAGCAGGUGUCAAGUUGCAGCACUUUUACGAGGUACCCUACAGUGAUAAGACUUCACAUGGUUACAUGUGCCAUCUCUAUUUGGUUUAUUUAAUAAAUAGUUUUUCACUACAAACUGGU